AAAUGCAGUCGAAGAUGAAGCCCAGCUUGCUGGGUGGAUUAGUGGCGAACGGGUGAGUAACACGUGAGUAACCUGCCCUUAACUCUGGGAUAAGCCUGGGAAACUGGGUCUAAUACCGGAUAGGAGCGCCUACCGCAUGGUGGGUGUUGGAAAGAUUUAUCGGUUUUGGAUGGACUCGCGGCCUAUCAGCUUGUUGGUGAGGUAAUGGCUCACCAAGGCGACGACGGGUAGCCGGCCUGAGAGGGUGACCGGCCACACUGGGACUGAGACACGGCCCAGACUCCUACGGGAGGCAGCAGUGGGGAAUAUUGCACAAUGGGCGCAAGCCUGAUGCAGCGACGCCGCGUGAGGGAUGACGGCCUUCGGGUUGUAAACCUCUUUCAGUAGGGAAGAAGCGAAAGUGACGGUACCUGCAGAAGAAGCACCGGCUAACUACGUGCCAGCAGCCGCGGUAAUACGUAGGGUGCGAGCGUUAUCCGGAAUUAUUGGGCGUAAAGAGCUCGUAGGCGGUUUGUCGCGUCUGUCGUGAAAGUCCGGGGCUUAACCCCGGAUCUGCGGUGGGUACGGGCAGACUAGAGUGCAGUAGGGGAGACUGGAAUUCCUGGUGUAGCGGUGGAAUGCGCAGAUAUCAGGAGGAACACCGAUGGCGAAGGCAGGUCUCUGGGCUGUAACUGACGCUGAGGAGCGAAAGCAUGGGGAGCGAACAGGAUUAGAUACCCUGGUAGUCCAUGCCGUAAACGUUGGGCACUAGGUGUGGGGACCAUUCCACGGUUUCCGCGCCGCAGCUAACGCAUUAAGUGCCCCGCCUGGGGAGUACGGCCGCAAGGCUAAAACUUCAAAGGAAUUGACGGGGGGCCCGCACAAAGCGGCGGGAGCAUGGCG
rnacentral:rRNA from 1 species